AUGAAGAGCUAUCAUAUUCUAAAGACAGCAGGUGACUAUGCAAAGCAAUUUGCAGAAAUCGUAAAUCCUGCCGAGGAAAGAUUGCUGUACAUUAUAAAUGUAUGCCCUUUCCUGUCAUUUGAAGGAAAGGUUUUUCUUUUUAUGA
rfam:Ruminococcus sp. CAG:353 genomic scaffold, scf347